rnacentral:rRNA from 1 species
UAUUGGACAAUGGGGGGGAACCCUGAUCCAGCGACGCCGCGUGAGUGAAGAAGCGCCUCGGCGCGUAAAGCUCUGUCAGCAGGAACGACGAUGACGGUACCUGAAGAAGAAGCCCCGGCUAACUACGUGCCAGCAGCCGCGGUAAUACGUAGGGGGCAAGCGUUAUCCGGAUUUACUGGGUGUAAAGGGAGCGUAGACGGCGGGGCAAGUCUGGAGUGAAAGGCCGGGGCCCAACCCCGGGACCGCUCUGGAAACUGCCCGGCUGGAGUGCGGGAGAGGUAAGCGGAAUUCCUAGUGUAGCGGUGAAAUGCGUAGAUAUUAGGAGGAACACCAGCGGCGAAGGCGGCUUACUGGACCGUGACUGACGUUGAGGCUCGAAAGCGUGGGGAGCAAAC